rnacentral:rRNA from 1 species
CAAGGCUGAGGCGUGAUGACGAGGCACUACGGUGCUGAAGCAACAAAUGCCCUGCUUCCAGGAAAAGCCUCUAAGCAUCAGGUAACAUCAAAUCGUACCCCAAACCGACACAGGUGGUCAGGUAGAGAAUACCAAGGCGCUUGAGAGAACUCGGGUGAAGGAACUAGGCAAAAUGGUGCCGUAACUUCGGGAGAAGGCACGCUGAUAUGUAGGUGAAGCGACUUGCUCGUGGAGCUGAAAUCAGUCGAAGAUACCAGCUGGCUGCAACUGUUUAUUAAAAACACAGCACUGUGCAAACACGAAAGUGGACGUAUACGGUGUGACGCCUGCCCGGUGCCGGAAGGUUAAUUGAUGGGGUUAGCGGUAA